GAAAUACAUGCCCUAAAGAAAAAAUUCCAAAGUGCCCCAAAGACCAGCGACCAAAGUGCUAUGUACCGAAUGGUAGAUGCAACUGCACUUGUACUACCUCCAUGAAGCGUCCACCUGGCUUGUCAAAUCCAUUCGUGUAAGACCUUCAAAGCCAAAUCCAUAAAGCUGUCGCACCACGAAGAAGGCAGACACUACAAUAAAAUGCCGUUGCUUGUUCAGUGAA